GAAUACGGUAAUAUGGCCUUAGAAACACGAAGAUGGCUACCUCAUUGAUUUGCAAAGGGACGGUAACCAGGGUGAGUUCAGUUAUGAACAGGGACGUCAAACUAUUUGGAAAGCAUCAUAUGUUUGACUGCAAUGAAGAGACGUGUUGGAAUUCUGACCAGGGAGACCUUCAGUGGGUGCUUCUGGACUUUCCAGGGCCAGUCAAAAUAUCCACAGUGAAUGUGCAGUUUCAGGGUGGGUUUGCAGGGAAAACAUGUCGAUUGGAAGGUAGUCUAAAAGAUGAAGCAUUUGCAAACCUUACGGUUUUUUACCCUGAGGACAACAACAACGUCCAG